AUUGAACGCUGGCGGCAGGCCUAACACAUGCAAGUCGAGCGAGCGGCGGACGGGUGAGUAUUGUUUGGGAACCGGCCUGAGGGAGGGGGAUAACUCCUGGAAACGGUAGCUAAUACCGCAUACCAUCAAUGGGCCCCAGAUGGGUUUAGCUGGUAGGUGGGGUAACGGCUCACCUAGGCGACGAUCCCUAGCUGGUCUGAGAGGUUGACCAGCCACACUGGAACUGAGACACGGUCCAGACUCCUACGGGAGGCAGCAGUGGGGAAUAUUGCACAAUGGGCGCAAGCCUGAUGCAGCCAUGCCGCGUGUGUGAAGAAGGCCUUCGGGUUGUAAAGCACUUUCAGCGGGGAGGCGUUACCCGCAGAAGAAGCACCGGCUAACUCCGUGCCAGCAGCCGCGGUAAUUC
rnacentral:rRNA from 1 species